CCUACGGGAGGCAGCAGUGGGGAAUAUUGGACAAUGGGCGCAAGCCUGAUCCAGCCAUGCCGCGUGAGUGAUGAAGGCCUUAGGGUUGUAAAGCUCUUUUGUCCGGGACGAUAAUGACGGUACCGGAAGAAUAAGCCCCGGCUAACUUCGUGCCAGCAGCCGCGGUAAU
rnacentral:rRNA from 1 species